CCCUUAGAUGUUCUGGGCCGCACGCGCGCUACAAUGAUGAAUUCAACGAGUUUAUAACCUUGGUUGAAAAGCCUGGGUAAUCUUUUGAACUUUCGUCGUGAUGGGGCUAGACCCUUGCAAUUAUUGGUCUCCAACGAGGAAUUCCUAGUAAACGCAAGUCAUCAGCUUGCAUUGAUUACGUCCCUGCCCUUUGUACACACCGCCCGUCGCACCUACCGAUCGAAGAGUUAGGUGAAUUGUUUUGAUCGAUAAGAUUUGACUAUGGUCAACUCUCGUUGUGAAAUUCUGUGAAUCUGACUGUUUAGAGGAAGGAAAAGUCGUAACA
rnacentral:rRNA from 1 species